rnacentral:rRNA from 1 species
AGCAGUAGCCGCGGUGAUACGUAGGUGGCAAGCGUUGUCCGGAAUUAUUGGGCGUAAAGCGCGCGCAGGCGGAUCAGUCAGUCUGUCUUAAAAGUUCGGGGCUUAACCCCGUGAUGGGAUGGAAACUGCUGAUCUAGAGUAUCGGAGAGGAAAGUGGAAUUCCUAGUGUAGCGGUGAAAUGCGUAGAUAUUAGGAAGAACACCAGUGGCGAAGGCGACUUUCUGGACGAAAACUGACGCUGAGGCGCGAAAGCCAGGGGAGCGAACGGGAUUAGAUACCCGAGUAGUCCCUGUCUCUUAUACA